UGAUAUACCUGGGUUGGCGUUAGCCUUCCCUGACUAUGUGUGAACCCUCUACUUCUUCCCAGCAUUCUGGGGGCGGCUUGCCGCUUGCAGUCUGGCUGGGGUUAUUAAUGAAUACAGCAUGGUAUACUCAAAGGCAACAUAUA
rnacentral:misc_RNA from 1 species